GAUGAACGCUGGCGGCGUGCCUAAUACAUGCAAGUCGAGCGGACGGACCAGAAGCUUGCUUCGCUCAUGUUAGCGGCGCACGUGUGAGUAACACGUGGAUCACCUACCUAUAAGACUGGUAUAACCUCGGGACUCCGGAGCUAAUACCGUAUAAUAUUUUGACCCGCAUGGUUCCUUAGUGAAAGACGGUCUUGCUGUCACUUAUAGCUGGAUCCGCGCUGCAUUAGGUAGUUGGUACGGUAAGGGCGUACCAAGGCGACGAUGCGUAGACGACCUGUCAGCGCGAUGGCCCACACGAGAGUUGAGACCUGUUCCAGAGGCCUACGGGAGGCACCAGCAGGGAAUCUUCCGCAAUGGGCGAAAGCCUUACGCAGCACCCCCGCGCGAGUGAUGAAGGCCCUCGGUGCGGAAAGCUGUUUUAUGAGGGAAGAACACAUGUGUCAGUCACCGUGCACAUCUUGACGGUACCUAGUCAAGAAGCAACGGCUAACCACGUG
rnacentral:rRNA from 1 species